GAUCUAAACCCCCCCUUACAUUCCCCCCUGCGCCUCACUUCGUCAUUUACCCAGCUCUCUCUCGCCGCCCACCGUUACCAUCUCAGUUUCCACACCUGACCCCUGCCAUCACCGCCUCCCUCUCCGGCUCUCCCCUUAAGAAGAAGUGAAUUUGAGCGUGGAGGAGUCCGGCCGUGCCUUCACAUCUCAGUUCAGAGAAUCAAAACUUCUCCCUUCUACCGAGAACGGAGCUUUGAUAAGAUUUGGAUCGAAAAUCGGCGACCCAUUUGCUGAAAUUGGUUGAAUUUUGGGUUGGAGAAGCGGACGAUGCUCUGUUGGGUGUUUUUGUUGCAGUGACAGGAUGAACGGGGUUUCGAAAGAAUUGAAACCCUGGGAGGGUUGAAGGUGGAGAAGAAGAAAAUGCAUUAUUGCUGUAUUUGGUUUUUUCACUUUUGUUAUGGUGACUCUGAGAGUAAAUGUGAGACCUGAGUCAUUCGUUAUUGUGCAUUUUGAGAUUGAGUGAAAUUAAAGAAGAUAACUAUCACAUGAAAAUUAAAACGGGUUUAAAGAUCGUGGAGUAUUAUGUGGGAUUCAAAAGAAA